UUCUGCCUGCAGUCACUGGAGCGAUUUUUUUUCCCGGUCAAAAAGAAAGAGGGGUGUGUCCGUCAGAAAAGUGCACUGGAACACACCAGUGCACAGGAUCCCUGUCGGACGCAACAUGGGCUGUUGUGAAUGAGAACCCAACUCAGUUGUUUUUUUUAAAGUCGAAUUGCACAAAAAAGAGCUGCUGGAUUUCUCUAUAAGAGAGUGUGCGGAGCAGUUGGAGCAAAGACCGAUGUUCACAAAAGGGAAGAAACAUGGAGGAUCCACAUUUCCCCGCAGGCUCUGUCCAUCAGAUUUGUUUGUGAGUCCCCCAUCCCACUGGCAGCUCGUUAGCGCACCCUGCUGGUUGGUCGACGGAGCCUGAUGACACGUGUCAGAGGUCAAAUGGAGCGGAAAGGGAUCUCGGCAAUGAGAUGAUCAUCAUCCAGCAACUACUACUGAAACUGAAUAGUGGGAGGAAAAAAAAAACACAGCAGCCCGCUGGAUCAACCAUCUACCAAGUGUGGGGAGUGUGAGGGGAAACGCUGGCCGGGGCUGUGGUGCAUUGUAGUUGCAUUGCAUGUUCUGACAGCACAGUGCAAUGGAUCUGCUUUGCAACACAGACCGUGGCCUUAACACAACUCAACCGCCGGCGAACAACGAGUGCGAUCGAAGCCUUAUUCAUUAUUAUAUCAACAUUACAUUUCUAAACAUGGCAUUGUGUUGUUCAGCUGCUGUGAUGCCGUGUGACGUUGACCUCUGGGAUGUCCCGUUCGGGGAGCGGAGGGGACUUGAACUGAAGGUGCAGGAAAAUAAAGUUACCGAUCCAAUAUGAUUAACUCACUGCAACUGGGAUUUUCUUUUACACCAAUUAGCUCAGAAAUUUGAGUUUUAAUGACACAAAAUAUUAAGUUGAUGUAAUUUCUAACAUUAUUAAGGAAUCACAAUCCAUCAAUAAAAGAAUGUUUACAGCUAGCUUUAUUGAAAUUAAUAGAUUGGAAUUCUUACCUUGCAACCAUGCGUUUAAUUUCAGUGAUGGUGAAAAGUACCAGUCAGUCAGCUCUUCACAACACUGCAUCAGACACAGCAUCUGCAUGUUUGCUGACAGGCCUGUACAAUGGUGGAUGAUGCUCCAGUUUCAAUUUGCAUAAUGGUUGUAAUAACUAAGAUGAUUCUAUGGAGAACACAGUGUCACCUGUGUAUUUAAAUCAAUUUCAUUCUGGUUUUCUGUGGCAUAAUAAAUAGAAAUCCUUAAAAACCCACCAAUGAGUCACAUCAUGACGCUAAUUGACAUCUUCCUUCACUAGUGUGGACAUGGUCGCUGUAGUUUAUCUUCAGUUUAUACCAAAUAUACUGUCCCGCCACUGUAACUACUCACCAUCCCACCAAAAUGUAUAUUAUUUCAACUGAAAAUAGCUCACAGCAAACAAAAUAUGUACUUCUGUUGAAGUGGGCUAAAAUAAAUGGAAAAAAAACUGUGCGUAUGUGACCUGAUUUGUGAAGAUGUGUCAUCAGUAGGAACCAAAGGCCUCAAAGUGAGUAUGUAAUGCUGAGGUUCUGUGGGGACCGAUCAUGACCUGUGGUAAUCUUCGAGCCCAUCGCACCGGAUUACAUUACAUUGUAUGUUCUUCCUGUCGUGUGUGUUUGUGCCCAUAUACAAGUUCUUUGCAGGUGUCAGGUGCAGGUUCCAUUACAAUAAGUGUAAGGGGUCAAAGCGUGACCCUCCAGUGUAUAAGAAAAACCUCUUUUCUAAAACUUUACUGAAGGAGGCAUGUUUAUGAAAUGAGAUCUGACAAAUUUAAACAGCAAUCUGGCAGAUUUCGGAGUUUCAUUUUCCUCUGAAUGUCAAACCCCUGUUCCUUUAUUAAACUGCCUGUUUUCCCUU